rnacentral:rRNA from 1 species
AUUGAACGCUGGCGGCAUGCUUUACACAUGCAAGUCGAACGGCAGCGCGGGCUUCGGCCUGGCGGCGAGUGGCGAACGGGUGAGUAAUGCAUCGGAACGUGCCCAGUAGUGGGGAUAGCCCGGCGAAAGCCGGAUUAAUACCGCAUACGACCUGAGGGUGGAAGCGGGGGACCGAAAGGCCUCGCGCUAUUGGAGCGGCCGAUGUCGGAUUAGCCAGUUGGUGGGGUAAAGGCUUACCAAGGCGACGAUCCGUAGCUGGUCUGAGAGGACGACCAGCCACACUGGGACUGAGACACGGCCCAGACUCCUACGGGAGGCAGCAGUGGGGAAUUUUGGACAAUGGGGGCAACCCUGAUCCAGCCAUGCCGCGUGCGGGAAGAAGGCCUUCGGGUUGUAAACCGCUUUUGUUCGGGAAGAAAUCCUCUGGGCUAAUACCCCGGGGGGAUGACGGUACCGGAAGAAUAAGCACCGGCUAACUACGUG